UACGGAGGGUGCAAGCGUUAUCCGGAUUCACUGGGUUUAAAGGGUGCGUAGGUGGGUCUGUAAGUCAGUGGUGAAAUCUCCGAGCUUAACUCGGAAACUGCCAUUGAUACUAUCUGUCUUGAAUUAUCUGGAGGUGAGCGGAAUAUGUCAUGUAGCGGUGAAAUGCUUAGAUAUGACAUAGAACACCAAUUGCGAAGGCAGCUCACUACGGAUAUAUUGACACUGAGGCACGAAAAGCGUGGGGGAUCAAACCAGG
rnacentral:rRNA from 1 species